rnacentral:rRNA from 1 species
UACCGCAUAAGCGCACAGUAUCGCAUGAUACAGUGUGAAAAGCCGAGACGGUAUACGAUGGACCCGCGUCUGAUUAGCCAGUUGGCAGGGUAACGGCCUACCAAAGCAACGAUCAGUAGCCGGCCUGAGAGGGUGAACGGCCACAUUGGGACUGAGACACGGCCCAAACUCCUACGGGAGGCAGCAGUGGGGGAUAUUGCACAAUGGGGGAAACCCUGAUGCAGCGACGCCGCGUGAGCGAAGAAGUAUUUCGGUAUGUAAAGCUCUAUCAGCAGGGAAGAAAAUGACGGUACCUGACUAAGAAGCUCCGGCUAAAUACGUGCCAGCAGCCGCGGUAAUACGUAUGGAGCAAGCGUUAUCCGGAUUUACUGGGUGUAAAGGGAGCGUAGACGGUUUGCCAAGUCUGAUGUGAAAGGUGUGGGCUCAACCCGCAAACUGCAUUGGAAACUGGUAGACUAGAGUGUCGGAGAGGUAAGUGGAAUUCCUAGUGUAGCGGUGAAAUGCGUAGAUAUUAGGAGGAACACCAGCGGCGAAGGCGGCUUACUGGACGAUAACUGACGUUGAGGCUCGAAAGCGUGGG